GGUGCAAAAAACACCCCAGUUUUUUCCUUAAUAGUCCACAUAUGCAAAGACUCCGGGGCGGAAUGACGGCAAUGCAAGAGAGGUCGUGAGAAUCGCACCCGGGCCAGCCAAACGGGCGAAAAAGAAAAACAGGAGGAUUUCGCUUCUUGCACGGAUUCCCGGUCCAGAUAUGACAGAACAAGAGAUCGAAAAUCAAAUUCUGGAUCUCCAGGCUUGGAAAAAUCUUGACACUCCUCCAGCUGGCCACUCUGGGUACUUUAAUGCAAAACCAAAAGAAGAGGCAGAGGAAGAAGAUGGUGGAAUGGAAGAAGAACCAGGGAUACCAAAUCACCAGGGCUCUGAAGAAUGCAAAAUCCU